UACGUAGGGGGCAAGCGUUGUCCGGAUUUAUUGGGCGUAAAGAGCGUGUAGGCGGCCAGACAGGUCCGUUGUGAAAACUCGAGGCUCAACCUCGAGCUGUCGAUGGAAACCAUCUGGCUAGAGUCCGGAAGAGGAGAGUGGAAUUCCUGGUGUAGCGGUGGAAUGCGCAGAUAUCAGGAAGAACACCGACGGCGAAGGCAGCUCGCUGGGACGGUACUGACGCUGAGGCGCGAAAGCUAGGGGAGCGAACAGG
rnacentral:rRNA from 1 species